GAUGAACGCUGGCGGCGUGCCUAACACAUGCAAGUCGAGCGGCAGCGAGGGGUGCUUGCACCCUGUCGGCGAGCGGCGGACGGCUGAGUAACGCGUGGGAACGUGCCCCAAAGUGAGGAGUAACUGCCCGAAAGGGUAGCUAAUACCGCAUAUUAUCUUCGGAUCAAAGGAUUUAUCCGCUUUGGGAGCGGCUCGCGUCGGAUUAGGUAGUUGGUGAGGUAAUGGCUCACCAAGCCGACGAUCCGUAGCUGGUCUGAGAGGAUGACCAGCCAGACUGGAACUGAGACACGGUCCAGACUCCUACGGGAGGCAGCAGUGAGGAAUCUUCCACAAUGGGCGAAAGCCUGAUGGAGCAACGCCGCGUGCAGGACGAAGGCCUUCGGGUUGUAAACUGCUUUUAUAAGUGAGGAAUAUGACGGUAACUUAUGAAUAAGGAUCGGCUAACUACGUG
rnacentral:rRNA from 1 species